rnacentral:rRNA from 1 species
UACGAAGGGGGCUAGCGUUGUUCGGAAUUACUGGGCGUAAAGGGCGCGUAGGCGGUGUGUCAAGUCAGGCGUGAAAGCCCCGGGCUCAACCUGGGAACCGCGCUUGAGACUGGCACGCUAGAGUUCGGGAGAAGAUGGUGGAAUUCCCAGUGUAGAGGUGAAAUUCGUAGAUAUUGGGAAGAACACCGAUGGCGAAGGCAGCCAUCUGGACCGACACUGACGCUGAGGCGCGAAAGCGUGGGGAGCAAACAGG